AGAGUUUGAUCCUGGCUCAGGACGAACGCUGGCGGCGUGCCUAAUACAUGCAAGUCGAGCGGAUUGAUGGGAGCUUGCUCCCUGAUAUUAGCGGCGGACGGGUGAGUAACACGUGGGCAACCUGCCCUGCAGUUGGGGAUAACUCCGGGAAACCGGGGCUAAUACCGAAUAAUCAGUUCCUUCGCAUGAAGGAACUCUGAAAGACGGCUAUGCUGUCACUGCAGGAUGGGCCCGCGGCGCAUUAGCUAGUUGGUGAGGUAACGGCUUACCAAGGCGACGAUGCGUAGCCGACCUGAGAGGGUGAUCGGCCACACUGGGACUGAGACACGGCCCAGACUCCUACGGGAGGCAGCAGUAGGGAAUCUUCCACAAUGGACGAAAGUCUGAUGGAGCAACGCCGCGUGAGCGAAGAAGGUUUUCGGAUCGUAAAGCUCUGUUGCGAGGGAAGAACAAGUACGGGAGUAACUGCCCGUACCUUGACGGUACCUCGUCAGAAAGCCACGGCUAACUACGUGCCAGCAGCCGCGGUAAUACGUAGGUGGCAAGCGUUGUCCGGAAUUAUUGGGCGUAAAGCGCGCGCAGGCGGUCCUUUAAGUCUGAUGUGAAAGCCCACGGCUCAACCGUGGAGGGUCAUUGGAAACUGGAGGACUUGAGUACAGAAGAGGAAAGCGGAAUUCCACGUGUAGCGGUGAAAUGCGUAGAGAUGUGGAGGAACACCAGUGGCGAAGGCGGCUUUCUGGUCUGUAACUGACGCUGAGGCGCGAAAGCGUGGGGAGCGAACAGGAUUAGAUACCCUGGUAGUCCACGCCGUAAACGAUGAGUGCUAAGUGUUAGGGGGUUUCCGCCCCUUAGUGCUGCAGCUAACGCAUUAAGCACUCCGCCUGGGGAGUACGGCCGCAAGGCUGAAACUCAAAGGAAUUGACGGGGACCCGCACAAGCGGUGGA
rnacentral:rRNA from 1 species